rnacentral:rRNA from 1 species
GACGAACGCUGGCGGCGUGCUUAACACAUGCAAGUCGAACGGAAAGGCCCUGCUUUUGUGGGGUGCUCGAGUGGCGAACGGGUGAGUAACACGUGAGUAACCUGCCCUUGACUUUGGGAUGACUUCAGGAAACUGGGGCUAAUACCGGAUAGGAGCUCCUGCUGCAUGGUGGGGGUUGGAAAGUUUCGGCGGUUGGGGAUGGACCCGCGGCUUAUCAGCUUGUUGGUGGGGUAGUGGCUUACCAAGGCUUUGACGGGUAGCCGGCCUGAGAGGGUGACCGGCCACAUUGGGACUGAGAUACGGCCCAGACUCCUACGGGAGGCAGCAGUGGGGAAUAUUGCACAAUGGGCGGAAGCCUGAUGCAGCAACGCCGCGUGCGGGAUGACGGCCUUCGGGUUGUAAACCGCUUUCGCCUGUGACGAAGCGUGAGUGACGGUAAUGGGUAAAGAAGCACCAGCUAACUACGUG